GACGCGCCACUGGUGGCGGCCUUGAUAAUUAAGGGCACUCGGGAAAGGAGGCAGCCGUCCGCCGUACAGUUUCCUACGUCGUUGCUCGUGCUUCUCGGUGUGAUUCACGUUUUCGGAGCGAAAUAAGCGACACCCGUUGCACGUGUGUCGGUAGCCAAU
rnacentral:lncRNA from 1 species